rnacentral:rRNA from 1 species
GACGAACGCUGGCGGCGUGCCUAAUACAUGCAAGUAGAACGCUGAAGGAGGAGCUUGCUUCUCUGGAUGAGUUGCGAACGGGUGAGUAACGCGUAGGUAACCUGCCUGGUAGCGGGGGAUAACUAUUGGAAACGAUAGCUAAUACCGCAUAAGAGUAGAUGUUGCAUGACAUUUGCUUAAAAGGUGCAAUUGCAUCACUACCAGAUGGACCUGCGUUGUAUUAGCUAGUUGGUGGGGUAACGGCUUACCAAGGCGACGAUACAUAGCCGACCUGAGAGGGUGAUCGGCCACACUGGGACUGAGACACGGCCCAGACUCCUACGGGAGGCAGCAGUAGGGAAUCUUCGGCAAUGGACGGAAGUCUGACCGAGCAACGCCGCGUGAGUGAAGAAGGUUUUCGGAUCGUAAAGCUCUGCUGUAAGAGAAGAACGAGUGUGAGAGUGGAAAGUUCACACUGUGACGGUAUCUUACCAGAAAGAGACGGCUAACUACGUG